CUAGGAUUCAGAGCCCUCAGGAGGAGGACAGAUGAAGGCUGUGCCGGGCACGGUGACAGGGCUCCAUCUUGUCCCAGUAUAUCCUGGCAAUUGUUCCCUACUGGUGCAUAAACAGCAACCUGGGCCCUCCCCAGCCAAGGCCUUUGCAGUUUAGAGCACAGCACCCCCUGCUGGAGCUGAGGUAACCCUCGCUGCUUGUGUGGCACCAGGUCGACUCAGAGGCCGGCUGCGACUGUGCCACACUUGCCCUUGAGUGCUCCCCUGUCCUGCCGAGGCUGGAAGCCUGAAGAACUAACUUGUACGGACCCCCUUGCGAGCUGGGCUAGAGGCCUUUGAUGUCACAGGAGCCCCUUCUGCGGAGGCAGGACAGCAGGACGGGCCUGCAGAGACAUCCUCAAGGCCACCCAAAACCAUUCUUUAAACUGCAGUGACGGUGACUGAAGGGGACAAUCACAGCUGGGUCGCCUCCACCAUGUAAUGGCCCUACAAGGGACUUCCCGUCCUUCACCUGCAGUGGCCUGUCCCGGAGAGGCCCCAGGGAAACAAGGCACUCAGGCUGUGAGCACGGCGGCUCUGUUCUUCACCGUCCUUCGCUGGUUUUAGAAUCACAGGCUUACCAGCCUCCUAAAAUGAGUGGGGGUUUCUAUCUUUUUUCUGUUU